UCCCCUCUCCUGCCACUACGCCUAUAUGCGUGUACAGUACACUUGCCAGUGUUUCCCCUCAACCCGCAGUGUUGUUCCACUAUACUAAGAAGGUUUACGCGAUAGGGAAAACGAGAAAUGCUCAACAACAUUCUAAUCGACGUCAGGUGACGUCCGCACUAUGUGGUACAGGUCCCCCACCAUGAAGAGAAAAUUUUGUACCAUAGCCGAAAGAAAGAAGUGAUGCUAGAAAAGCUAAACGCUGAGGACUGUGCCGUCCAAACUUAGCUGCUUAGAACCUCUUCCAACUGAGCAGUGCCUCCAAGUGAACAGUACUUCGUAAGAAAACGUUUCUGCAAUACUCGUAGGACGUCCGCUCGAUCGCCAAUACCAAGAAGUUGACUACCAGCCAGCCAGUAGUCUGUAUCGUAAUGUGUGUACAAUGUUUCGUGUCGUAUUGCGAUUGUUUUAUUAGUUCCUGCUAUGUUAGAAUGAGAAUAUUAAGUAAUUAUACUUUUCAAAGUUGUUAUGCUCGAAGCUGGUUACAUUUACAAACUUUUUACUGUUUUCAAAAUAA